AACAUCAAACCCGUCCCCUCGCGCCUCGUCUUAUCUGCGACUGGACUGAGGUUCGGGGGCGCGCGCCUAGAUCGCGUUGCGGGUUUUGACGCGACGGGCAGACAAGAGAGGCGCCGACGGUCGGAGCAUGGAGCGGCAGCCGGAGCAGCGUCUCCCCGAAGCCCAGAUCGACGAUGGAUCGGCUGCUUCAUCACUGGCUAUAGGAAACGGAUCGGUCUGCCAACAAGAGGAUAAUUCUCGUGAUGGCACAGGAGGGGAAUAUUCAGGGCCAGAGCUUCCAGAGGACAUUUGGUGUCAUAUACAUUCCUUAAUGACGCUCCGAGAUGCUGCUCGUGCUGCCUGUUUGUCUCGUACCUUUCUGCGUUCCUGGAGAUGCCAUCCCAAUCUCAUACUUGAUCAUGGAAUACUAUUCCAGUUGAGACAUGUCCUCGCCAGCACAGUGAAUCACAUUUUUGAAAAUCACUCGGGCAUUGGUGUGAAGACACUCAAACUAGAUUUCUCCUGUUACCACGAGCCCAAGGCCUAUUCAUAUCUCCAUAGGUGGCUUCGGAUAGCUGUUACACCAGGCACUGAAAAACUUGUCGUUCUGUCUGCGAGUGAUGUAGCAUUCAACUUCCCAUGCUCAAUCCUAUCUGAUGGGAACGGAAUCACGAUCCAGCAUCUUCACCUUGUUGACUGUGGCUUCCAUCCCACAGUCAGUCUUGUUUGCAUGAGGAGCCUGACAGUGUUGCAUUUCGAUCGUGUGGCAGUUACGGGGGACGAGUUAGGGUACCUUUUCUCCAGCUGUGUUGCUUUGGAGCAGUUGAAACUCAGGAGAUGCUCCAAGAUAACUUGCUUGGAGAUACCUUUCGAGCUGCAGCGGCUCAGCUACCUGCAGGUGUCGGUAUGCCACAAACUGCGAAUGAUAAAGAACGAAGCUCCAAAUAUUUGUAGUUUUGACUUUUUAGGUGACCGUAUAGAGAUCUCACUUGGAGAUUCACUGCGACUGAAGAACCUAGAUGUUCUGUGUAACAACGUCCUCCGUUAUGCAUGUGAAGAGUUUCCAUCCAGUGCGCCGAAUCUUGAAACUCUUAGCAUAUUUUCACGUCACGAGGUAGCCAAUACAGCAAUGGCGUUCACGCCUAGCAAGUUCCUCCACCUGAAGUACUUGAGUAUUUCUAUUGCAGUAGCCUAUGAUUAUUUGUCUCUGGUUUAUUUCCUUGAUGCUGCUCCGUCCUUGGAAACGUUCAAACUGUGUGUACUGACAGGGCUACGACCCGCAGAUGAACUACUUUUGGAAGAUCCCUCACAGCUUCGGCAGAUGUCAGGAUACUGCCAUCACAAGCUCCAGACUGUGAAGAUCUCUAGGUUCUGCUCUUCAAAGAGCAUGGUUGAGCUGGUGUCCCAUAUUCUUGAAAACUCAGUAUCGCUGGAGUGCCUUACAUUGGACACCACGGAUUGUAGUUUCAGGUGUUCUGGCGACAGAUCUACCAGAUGCUCCGACUUGGUUAGACCCUGGGAAGCCGAUAAAGCAGUCUUGGUAAUCAAAAAAUACAUCAAGGGGAAAGUUCCCUCCACGGUCAAGCUAGAUGUUGUGGAGCCCUGCAACCGGUGUCAUGUCAUUCUGCUAGAUGGCGGCGGAUGGAUCAGAGCUUAGUCUCUUACCCACAUAAACGUGGAGGAAAGACAACAUUCAGAUCCAUAAACAUCUUGAGAGCGUUACUAAUGCUAGCUGGUAUUUGACUGUCAGCAGUGGGUAUAAAUCUUGUUUCUCAAGUUGAAAUGAUGAAUCGGCUGCUUCAUUGGCUAUAGGAAAGGGAUCACCCUGCAAACACGAUGGCAAAACAAGGAAAUGUUCAGGGCCAGAACUUCCAGAAAGUUCCACUUGUAAUUUGGAAGUUCUAUAAAAGUGUGUCUCGGUGUGACAACCUGAAGGGGUGUGAUCAGGAGGCAAAACUACGAACUGGGAGCUUGGCUAUGGAGAAACAGAGCUGGAUAUUGCGUUCUCAAUGUGAAUAGAAUGUCUCAGUGCUACUAUGUUAAGGGGUGCAAGGGCAUGAUGUUUCUAAUCUGAUGCAAUCUCAAUGUUUACUAAGUAUCUGUGUCUGAAUCUGCAUGUUUUGCUUGCUGCCUUGUAGGAGUCUCUCCCUUUCUUCUGUCAAAUUUGGAACGCCUGAUCAUGUGAAAAACACUGGUUACUCUGUUUUCACGGAUUACUAUCUAACUGGAUCAAGAUUUUUUCGGGUGAAUUGGAGUGGCUUACUCAUCUGGCUAAAUCGAGCUAGGUGGCCUAGCUGGAUGUGAUACACAGGAUUUCCCAUCACGGAGAGAUUUCUGUACAACUGCAAGGGCGUGGCAGGAAGGUGGUAAAUACAACAAUGGCAUUGGCGCCUAGCAUGUUCCUCCACCUGAAGUAUUGGGUAUUUAGUAUUCAUGGGGCCUACAAUUAUUUUUCUCUGGUUUCUUUCCUUGCUGCCUCUCCCACCUUGGAGACACUCACACUCUCAAUGUAGUUCACUAUUCAUUCUGCAAAUAUUUUUGAAUGCAUUCAUCCUGCAAUAUAACAAGUCUUUAUGGUCGAACCACUAGUUCAGAUCUUUAAACUACUUGCCUUUUUUAAUAUUCAGCUACUGGUCUGGCUACCAUCCAUCGAUGAAUUGCUUUUUUGUGACCACUCACCUCCAAGGCACAUGCCAAGAUACCUGCAUGACAAGCUCCACCCGAGAGUGGACAUCUCUAGGUCUUCUGGUGCCAGAGAUGCGGAGUCAUCACGGUGCAGACGGGUAUGCCCAGAAGUUUUGAGAGCUUAACUGUCAGCAUUUUUUGGACGAACCUAGCGAGAGGACAGGGUGUUCCUGCAAUUUGUUAAGAAUAUAAAUAGAUUUGCGGGAGCUUAGCUAGUGUCGUUUCUUUCAGUAGCCUAGUAAUAAGCUAAGCUGCUCGUUACUGCUUGAUUUUAAGUUAAUAAGGUUGCUUCCAGGCCCGUGUGCUGGGGCUGUGAAGAGAGUGAUUCGUGGGUUUGCAGCACCCUGCUGGUUCGUUGUGGAGCAGGCCGGGCGUUUAGCGUGUUGCUGUAGAAAUCCUGUACUGAAUCUCAUCAGACACGACCAGGAGUUGCAGUAGAAAGGAAUGAGGUCGUCGCUAUUGCCCCCUCAUAACUGGCAAUUUUCUCUUCCUUGAUAACUUCUGUAUUUGCACUUCGAGUUUGGAUUUGAUUUUGUCAUUAGCUGAGAACCUAGCGUCGCUCGGUUGGCCAGCUGCGCGAGCGCGCUGCCCGCCAGAGUUUGAGUCCUAUAUACUGGCAUUGUGUGGUCAGGUUUGCUUCUUC